rnacentral:rRNA from 1 species
UACGUAGGGUGCAAGCGUUUAAUCGGAAUUACUGGGCGUAAAGCGUGCGCAGGCGGUUCUAUAAGACAGAUGUGAAAUCCCCGGGCUCAACCCUGGGAACUGCAUUUGUGACUGUAGAGCUGGAGUGCGGCAGAGGGGGGAUGGAAUUCCGCGUGUAGCAGUGAAAUGCGUAGAGAUGUGGAGGAAUACCGAUGGCGAAGGCAGCCUCCUGGGCCAACACUGACGCUCAUGCACGAAAGCGUGGGGAGCAAACAGG